rnacentral:misc_RNA from 1 species
CCUCUUAAGCUUUGAAUCGUUUGAACUCAAACCAAAUUUCAUAGUGAUUAAAAAGCAAACUAUCAUGUGUAUGCUUUCCCAAAUACUCAAGCCCCAAACUGGUCAGCCUCUUGGUACAUUCCUCACCUCCCAGUCUUGAACAGAACUUAAUAUUAUGCGACACAAAGAUUCGCCCAUCAUAAGGUUUCAACUUACUCACUAACCUUUCUAGUCCAACCCAUACAAGCUUAUCAGGCAUGUGAAGAAACACAGCACUAGCAUAUAUUAAAUCAUACAUAACUCCUGCACCAAACUUGGAGAAUUCCAUAUCUUCCCCUCGCACAAUCAGAGGUCGCUUGUAUAGAAGACCCUAAUGAAAUGCAAACCAACACGGAGUGUGCCACACCCAAUCUCAAGCACUUGUGAGUUGGGUGAUAGGUGGGCAGCUUCAGCUAGGAAUUCAAACACAUCUCGUCCACCUGCCCAUGGCUCCCCAUAGUUGCUAUGGUGUUCUUCCACAAGGAGCUCACCAGGGCAAGGAAGUGCAGUAUGAUUAUUGUAUUCUGGCUCUUCAUAGUGUGAUAUGCCCUUGUAACUGGAAAACAUAAUGCAAUCAAUUACAAACAAUCUCCCAUACACUGAAAUUAUCAUGUAGUUUUUAAUAUCAUUCAUAUGCGCAAGUUUUCAAGCGAAAUCUUACAUAAACAGAACACAAACCAUUGACUUCAAAGGAUUUUAGGUCCGUAAGCCACUGAUUCAGUUCAAUUACUCAAAAAGUGAGAAACGCAAAAGCUAUCCUAACAAACAAAAUGCUAUACAUUUAUCGAAAACAGAACAGACAGAUUAGCGAAACUCACAACUAUGGCGCAUUCUUCCACAGUUCAGGGAGAUCGGCAUGCAGAUAAAUCUAAAAACCUCACCUUUUUUGACACCCAUAUAAAACCUAAUCAGCCAAAACACAACCCUGUAUGCAUAUACCCCAAAGACAGAGAAAAAGAGCUCUUACUGAAUCAGAUCUUCGAGUUGCUGAGCCCUAGUUCGAGGAUUAAUGCCCUUACGAAGAACGUUAUCUUGCAUAUGCAAUCCGUUCAAUCGGAUCUGAUCCUUAACCCAUUCGAUAUCCUCUUUCGUCGGCGAUAUUCUUUCCUUAUAAUCUGCUAACCCUCCGCCGCUGCCACCACCUCCGGCAGCGCCAGCAAAGCCUUGUAAAGGAGGAGCAGAGGCCGGACAAUCACAAUAAGAUAGGGAAGAGAUAAGAAAGAACAACAUAAUAGCUGCGACGGAGACCGAGAGCACGAGAACUGGAACUGUUAUGACUACUCCCUUUUGUGUCGGUGAAGAAGCCAUUGUUAUUUUGUGCCUGUGUGUAUGGCUGUGCCUGUGUUUUUUGCGGGAUUGUCGUUUUUAUGUAUCUUCCUCAUUCUUGCUUCUCAUUCGGUCUUCCACAUCUAAGCAUCCUGUGUGCGUACGUUGUUUUUAACACUUGUUGUCGUUUCGGAAAUCUCGAUUCGAUUGCUUAGGUUCGCCAACAUGGGUCGUGACCUGGACAACUUGCAAAUUCGAGUAUGG